AUUGAACGCUGGCGGCAGGCUUAACACAUGCAAGUCGAGCGAGCGGCGGACGGGUGAGUUAUGUCUGGGCAACUGCCCGAUGGAGGGGGAUAACUACUGGAAACGGUAGCUAAAAACGCAUACUAUUAGCUGUGCCCAGAUGGUUUUAGCUAGUAGGUGGGGUAAUGGCUCACCUAGGCGACGAUCCCUAGCUGGUCUGCGAGGAUGACCAGCCAAGCGGGAACGUAGACACGGGCCAGACGCCUACGGGAGGCAGCAGUGGGGAAGUUUGCACAAUGGGAGAAAGCCUGAUGCAGCCAUGCCGCGUGUGUGAAGAAGGCCUGCGGGUUGUAAAGCACUUUCAGCGGGGAGGGGUUACUCGCAGAAGAAGCACCGGCUAACUCCGUGCCAGCCGCCGCGGUAAUAC
rnacentral:rRNA from 1 species